ACUGGAGUUGGUGGUGGAGGUGACUUGUAAACAGGAGUUGGUGGUGGUGGAGACAUAUAAACUGGUGCAGGAUGGUAUGGUGUUGGUGAAGGAUGGUAUGGCUUCACUGGUGGCGGUGGUGACUUGUAAACUGGUGCAGGAUGAUACGGUGUUGGUGAAGGGUGGUAUGGCUUCUUGGGUGGUGGUGGUGACUUGUAAACGGGAGCUGGUGGUGGUGGCGACUUGUAAACUGGUGUGUGUGGAGGGUAGUAUGGCUUCUUGGGUGGUGGUGGUGACUUGUAAACUGGAGUUGGUGGUGGUGGUGACUUGUAAACCGGGGUGUGUGGAGGGUAGUAUGGCUUCUUGGGUGGUGGUGGCGACUUGUAAACUGGAGUUGGUGGUGGUGGAGACUUAUAAACCGGGGUGUGUGGAGGGUAGUAUGGCUUCUUGGGUGGUGGUGGCGACUUGUAAACUGGAGUCGGUGGUGGUGGAGAUUUGUAAACAGGGGUGUGUGGAGGGUAGUAUGGUUUCUUGGGUGGCGGCGGUGACUUGUAAACCGGAGUUGGUGGUGGUGGCGACUUGUAAACUGGGGUGUGUGGAGGGUAGGAUGGCUUCUUGGGUGGUGGUGGUGACUUGUAAACGGGAGUUGGUGGUGGUGGCGACUUGUAAACCGGGGUGUGUGGAGGAUAGUGUGGCUUCUUGGGUGGUGGUGGUGACUUGUAAACUGGAGUUGGUGGUGGUGGAGAUUUAUAAACGGGUGCAGGAUGAUAUGGUGUUGGUGAAGGGUGGUAUGGCUUCUUAGGUGGCGGUGGAGACUUAUAUACAGGGUGGUGGGGUGGUGAUGGAUAGACAUGCACUGGUGGAAGAGGAGACUUGUAGAGGUAUGGUUUCUUAGGUGGUGGUGGAGAUGAG
rnacentral:lncRNA from 1 species